GAUGGACGCUGGCGGCGUGCUUAACACAUGCAAGUCGAACGAGAAAUGUAGACGGAAACCUUCGGGCGGAAGCCUUCAUUUCGAGUGGCGGACGGGUGAGUAACGCGUGGGUAACCUGCCUCAUACAGGGGGAUAACAGUUGGAAACGACUGUUAAUACCGCAUAAGACCACAGCAUCGCAUGAUGCGGGGGUAAAAACUCCGGUGGUAUGAGAUGGACCCGCGUUCGAUUAGCCAGUUGGCGGGGUAACGGCCCACCAAAGCGACGAUCGAUAGCCGAUCUGAGAGGAUGACCGGCCACAUUGGGACUGAGACACGGCCCAAACUCCUACGGGAGGCAGCAGUGGGGAAUAUUGCACAAUGGGGGAAACCCUGAUGCAGCGACGCCGCGUGAGUGAAGAAGUACUUCGGUAUGUAAAGCUCUAUCAGCAGGGAAGAAAAUGACGGUACCUGAGUAAGAAGCCCCGGCUAACUACGUG
rnacentral:rRNA from 1 species